rnacentral:rRNA from 1 species
UACGUAGGGGGCGAGCGUUGUCCGGAAUUAUUGGGCGUAAAGAGCUCGUAGGCGGCUUGGCAAGUCGGAUGUGAAAACUCCAGGCUCAACCUGGAGCCGCCAUUCGAUACUGCUAUGGCUAGAGUCCGGUAGGGGAGUGUGGAAUUCCCGGUGUAGCGGUGAAAUGCGCAGAUAUCGGGAGGAACACCGAUGGCGAAGGCAGCACUCUGGGCCGGCACUGA